ACAGCCUCUCUGACAUUUUGUGGUACUUUGGCCGCUCGAUCAAAGACGUCAGACGCUUGUUUCAUGUACAGCCUCUCUCGACAUUUUUGUCCUUCGGCCGCUCUGCAACUUUCCCCCCUGUGGUAAGAGGUUCAGAGUUAUAAACCAGCACCUUAAAAGUAUUAAGGUUGCUAAAAAUAAAAAUCUCUUGUGUCCCCCCACCCGUGGUAAGGAACAGAGAAUAAAUAUAUGAACAAAAAGACACAAAAGAGUCUUUUAUGUUUUAAAAUACUAGCACCAUUUAGGUUGCUGAAAUACCAUGGAAGAAAUGGUAAGGCGUGCUGAAGCCAUGAAUAUCAGUAGUGAAUGUGUUUAAAAGAAAAAAAAAAAAAAGAUAUAAAAAGUGCAUUAAAUUAAAAAAUAAUACAAAAAAAAAAAAAAAAAAAACAAAAAAUUGUUCCACCUCCAUUGGUUGGUUUUUUAAGUAUCCAACUCAAGACGGGUACAGAAGGAGGGAAGACCGCACGGCAGCAAAGAAGUCUGCAAAAACAACUACAGCCGCAGCGACGAUACAGGCGGCAUCAGAAAAUCGUCCUACAGCCAACAACGGCGGCAGCGACGACAGCAGCAGCAGAAACAACAACAUCAACAUUAAAGACGACGGCGGCGCGGCAGAAGCGGAAGAAGCAGCAGCUUAAUCAACUUUAUUAAAAAUUCUUUUUUAUUAGAAAUAUAAUUAUUUUUUGUUUUUGUAAAGAAAAAAAAAAAAGAGUAUAAAAUAUCAUAAAAACGCAAGUUAGAUCAGGAGUUAGGUAACGUAAUAUUCCCCCGGCAGGACCUCACUUCGGAGGUAUUUAGAAAGCUGGAGUUAAAAUCAUGAUAGCUUUAGAUAAAACGAAUAGUUUCAAUACCGAUUGCUUAAUUUAAAAAUAAUUGUUCAAAAAUUAAGAAAAAUAAUACCAUCCACAAUUGCAUAUCCAUCAAAUUUCCAGACACGCUGGUUUUAUAUUUUCAUUGAUAGUUAUAGCAGUUUUGAUAAUAUAUUUUGUGAAAAAAUGUUUAAUUAGGCAAAGAUUAGAAGCCAUAACAUUUGCCGGCCCGUUGCAAGGAAAUUAAUAUCAAAUAAUUAAGUAAAAAUAUAUAUGUUAAAAAAUUAUACAAAUUUACAGUCCACUUAAAUCGUUGUUUGCACAAAUAUCAAAAAUAAAAUAUAUUGUUCACUAAAUGUCAAGCUUGCCGGGCCUUUGGCAGAAUGUUCAUAAGAACACGAUUAUUUUUAUUAUUAAGAAACACAAAAUAAAACGAAUGGUAAUUUAAGACAUAAGAAAAUCUAAUGUUGAAAAGGAAAUAUAAAUAAACAAGAAGAGCAAGAUUUAAGUUGAAAAAUGAAAUGAAAUAAAUAAUUACAGUCCACUAAAUCGUUGAAGCAAUUAUACAUAAGCAAUAAAUUAUGUAAAUCUUAUGUCAGUUUUGCCGGCCUUUGGCAGAAUGUUCAGAAAGAACACACAAAUAUGAAUAUCAGAAAGAUAAGAGCCUGUCUAUGUUUAAGCAAUAAAACAACACCAAAUUGUUGCGUCUGGGAUGCAGAUGUCCGGCACUCUAGCAAAUGUGCAUACCUAUCUCAGCUAGGUACCUAGAACGCUUGGUGGGUUAUAUGACCUCCUGCGAGUGGUCACCAUAUGUUAAAGAUAAAGACCAUAGAAGGUUUCCCGCGGUCGGAGAUAUACCGAUCCGUGGGUCUAGAAAUAAGUAAUUUCCAUUCUCAUGUUAGCUACCUAAGCUAGGAUUUUAAGAAAUAAAUUUAGUUUGAAAUAUCAACUCAACAACGUCAGACGCUCGUUUUAUUUACAGCCUCUCUCGACAGACAGUGACAAUUUAUACCCGAGACCAACCAGGAAGGUGGUACUCGAAGUGCCCAGUGAUCGUGAGGCAGCCAGUGGAGUGCGGAGAAGUUUUCUCGACGGCCAAGGAGGCAAAUUCUUUUGGAAGCGGACGGCGAGGACGUGGCGGAACCCAGCAGGCAAAGAGCGGUCUCAGUGCGGAUGGAUCCGAGAAAUGUCCGCUAAAAAUAUUAAAUGUGAACAAAGAAUCGGAGUUUCCGCAUUAGGUUCGGGGAAUGCUCAAAAACGGACGCGCAAACGGACGAAAAGCAAAACUGUGGCGUUUCCCGUGAAUGUACCAAAAACGUAUUGCUAACGGACACUAAACCGUACAGUGGGCGGCCAAAAAGCGGACUUACCGCAAUAGGUUUGCCUAAUUGUCGAAACCUGGUCCGAAAACAGAUACUGAAACGGGCUAACACUGGGACCCGUGCAAAUGCCGCAAAUGUCCCGCUAACGGACACUAAAACGCACUGCACGCGUUAAAAAUCUUGUCGUCAACGAAAUUUCUAGAACUCGAUGAACGGUUCUUCUCCUUCCAUCUUUUGUCGCUUGCCUGUUUUUUUGUUAUUUCGCUGCAAAUGAGCGGGAGGCAAAUAUUAUUGCAUCAUCUUUCAACUCUUUUGGUUUGAGGAAUGUAUACCGUCGCGACUCUUUUCCUUUUGACCGGCGAGUUGUGCGGACGUGAGUGUACAGUUUUUUACAAGACGCACGUGUUUUCAACGAUUUUUAUUUAUUUAUGCUGGCGAGACUUAAUUUCCGACGAAGUGGCGCGCCAAUGGUCCUGGUUUGGGACAGAGUUCAAAAUGUCCAUUCGAGAGAUGCUUAUUACGUCAUCCGUCAAAGCCGCUUUUAUAAACAAAUUUGCGUUGGAGGAUGCAAGCAGACACAAAAGCAGAAUGCACAGGACGGUUAGUAUUAGUAUUAUUAGUUUUAAGGAAAUGAACAAAUCUUAAGUAAAAUGUUUAU